CUAGGUGGCGCCACGCAUGCGCGACAGCACGCCACCUUGUGGGACUAUGAGUGGUCGACAGGUAGGAGUUUCUCUGUUGCGAUGGCGUCACGCGCGCUGGUGUUCCUGCUGCUUGUGCCUCCUUCCCUUUCAGCCCACCUUCGUCAGUGCAUCAAGAGUCAGUGGUGUGGAGCCGACCCGCUUUUGUGACACAGCCGCUGCCUCAGCUCCUUCCAGUUACCACUUCUCGUCUUUACCUGCCUGUACCAGCAGCAUGCUAAUGAAUUUUCCCGGAAUCAAGAUGAGGAAGCAGCGGGAAGAAACUCGUCACUCUUGCAAGGAACCUCAACGUCAGGCAUUCAGCGAGCGAGUGAGCGACUGUAAUAUGAGCGCACACGUCAAGCAGGCAACGCACGCACUCUCCCACCGUCGAUCAAUAUCCAGAAAACUUGAGAAAGAACAGGAACACGAGCAGGAUGGCUAAUUAAAGGAGAACUCUUCAUUUCUUCUACUUCUUGGUCAGGUUCCGUGAGUUUUAAAAAGACGAAAGAGGAAAAAUUGCUGAGGAAGAAGAAGGAAAAAAAAAAAGUCACCCUUCUGUCUCUGAUUGUUGUUUUACAAAAGUUGCAGCCCUCGUGUUCCUGUCGCCCUCAGUGUUACCAUCAUUCCUUCCUCCUCAGUGCUCGCCGCCCCUACAUGGAAACCAGCGCCACCUCCUCCCACACACGUAGUGGUGAUCGUACAGUUUUUGUAUUCUGAGCCAAAUCAUGAUAAAGACACGACACUUAAUGGGUACAAGGGAAACAAGAAAAAGGAACGAUCCAACAUUGCCUUCACCCUUACAAAUAGUUGGUGGCCAUGAACCUUUUGUACUCUGAGCUAAAUCAUGAUGAAGACACGACCCUUAAACAGAUACAGGGGAAGAGAAAAAAGAAAAGAUAGGAAAUUUAUAUCUUAAGAAUUUUUUUUUUCCCUGAAGGAACGUAUAAAGUGGUUGACGGUCAUACAUUUGUUUUAUAUGUUAUACAAGUCACUGUGAAGACAGUGUAGUUUUGUAAACAGGAAAAAAGGUGGAAAAAAGUCAUGUUCUCCCCAGCUAAUUUCCUCUGAAGAGUCUGGCAAUUAAAUAAACAUGAGGCCGAAAAAAAAAAAUCAUAAUUUCUUCCUGAGUGUAAUAUUCAUACAGGUUUUUGUACAUUAACUAAAUUAGAAUUAAGAUAUUACUCUUAAACAGAUACCAUUGAAAAAUUAAAAAAAAUAAAACGAAAAAAGAAUCUUACUAAACUUACCAGAAAGAAUAUAUAUAAUCCAUCUCCACAAUCAUUUUCGUGACAUGCACAUUAACUAAAGAUAAAGACGCUAUACAGUAAACACUCGAACAAAAAGUUAACAUGAAAAAAUUGAGAAAUCAUCAUUACCUAAUUAAUUAACUUCCAUGAACUCUAAUUCGUAUUUACAGUAAUUCUUUUUAUUUACAUAUUAACUAAAUCAGGAGAAAAACGCAUCACACGAACAAAAAGACACAACGAAAGAAAAAAAAAAAACACCAUAUCUUAGGCAGCUUAUUCCCCAGAAGAAUGAAAUCCGCCAGUACAGUAAUUUUUUUGUCAUACACAUUACGUAAAUCAGGAUAAGGACGCGACACAAGAACAAAAAAAAGAAAAAAAAAGAACGAAAGAAAAAAACCGUCAUAUCUUGGGCAGCUUGUUCCCCGGAAGAGUGUAAUCCGCCUUAUAUUGCCGGCGUUGUGCGUGGAAAAGGCUGGCGGCUAAAGGCGGGGCGGUGAAGAGACCAAAUUACACAUCCUAACAAAGCAGCUUCACUCGCGCUACUGGCAAUAACGCCGCUCUCGCCACUAUAUUGCUGGUGUUCCUCAGGCUCGUUUUCUGUCACUGUAUGCGUCACUCGUUUAUUAACAUUUUUUUGCUGAGCGUGUGGACAGAUUGCGAGGUUGCGAUGGAAGUGUAUAGAUGAGACCUUUGUUAUCAAUUGAGAUGUAAAAAAGAAAAGGAAAAUAGAAAAGGAGUGGUUAAGGGAUAUUUGUAUACCUAUUGCAUUGUAUUUUUCACUAAAGUUUUGUUUCAUUUUAUUAUUGUUCGUCUCGUUUAAUUUGCAUUACAUUUUUUUUUUUUUAUCACUGGAUAAUUCAUUGAUCUUCCUUCCCUGUUUAUUCUGGAUUUAGUUCCUUUAUUUUAUUUGCUUCCUAGCUUAUUUUAUUGUGGAAUUUAUUGAAUUUUAUUAACUUUUAUUUUAGGUUCACUUCCUCUGUUCUGCGUGUUCAACGAUUUAUUUCUAUCCUG